GCUCGGUCAUCUCGGGCAGAACCCUGAUGAGCCUAUAAAGGCGAAACAGGGC
rnacentral:hammerhead_ribozyme from 22 species